UCGGCAUGAAGGAAAUAAUUGUCAAUACACUGUCCGUAGGAACUAACACAGAGCAACCCCGCGUCUCGCCUGUCAUUGGUUUAUAUAUUAUUCAUAGAAAUUAGACUAAACUCAAUUCUUUUCACAUGCUUCCUAUUGGCAGGAAAUUCAGAAACGCAGUCUCAACACACCAUCUCCUUCUUUCUUCAUCGUAUGUAUGUAUGUAUGUAUGUUCUCAAGGAAUUUUUGGGUUCUCUUUUUUAAUCUGUUGAUGUUGUGAGUCCCUGUUAAAAUUUAUGUUUUUGUUAUCUGAUUGGAUGUUGCGAAAAGCCAUUGAAGACAUUCGUCCUUUUAUGGGGACAUUUUCUACGUUCUGUCCUUUUUCCUUUUUCGGAUCUUCUGUUCCAGUGGCAUGAAUGAUAAACCAAUAUAGUGGAAUUUUUUUUUUAAAGAAAACAGUUUUUCACCAAUAAUUUUUGAAGCAAGGGUUAGAAUGCUAUAUUGGUUCUUCAGUUUUAUGAAGAAGUACAGAACUUUUUGAUCCUUUCUUCGGUUCUUUCAAUUUCUUUAUUUUGUAAAGCUAGGUUUUAAUUGUAAUAAUUCUUAUAUUAAAUUUUGUCGGUCUCUUUUCUUUGUAUUUGGGGUACUUGGAGUCGGCAUUUUUUAUUGGUGUAUGGUUGAUCUUGAAUUUUUGGGUUUUCUUUGGAUCUUUCCUGAUUUUUUCAUCUUGUCCUUUCUCUUUUCUCUGUUAUUCUCCUUUUCAGGUUGGGGUGUGAUAUUCAAUUUACUUAAAACUUUUGGGUCAAAAUUUAGAUUUCUCAGUAUGUGUAAUUAUAUUAAUUUUUUACACAGUGUGCCCAAUUUUAGUUUCCACUGAAGUUUAAUUGUUUAAAUUGUUACCUUUCUUAAUUUUUUUUUUUUACUGACCAUGCAUUAUUUUUCGUCUUUUUUUGUAGUGGAAUCAGAGUUAAGAGAACUUUCCUUCUACAUUGUAGGAGAUUCAAUUGGGAAUUGAUGUCCAAGACUUGGACCUUUUAGUUAGUUCUUUUAUUAAUAGAGAACAAGGUACUUCUCAAAUGCUGAGCUUUACUAGGACAAGAACUCAGCAGAGAUCUAAUAGAUCUAUGUCAUUAGGAGGUGAGCGUUUUAUUUUUUUCG
rnacentral:lncRNA from 1 species